UAGAGAUGAUUUUAUCCCAGGGAUAACGGCAAAUUAUAGAAUUCAUACUGAUGGAUCUCAACGACAAUUUGGAGCAAACUUUGGUUGGAGUACUAACCCUAAAAGUAUAUUGAAGCCUGGAAACAGUAGUAGGACAUAUUCACCAUCGUUGGUUUCACUACAG